rnacentral:tRNA from 1 species
GGUGAGAUGGCCGAGCGGUCUAAGGCGCCAGACUAAGGAUCAGGACAUUUGAUGUCCAAUCUGCAAUUACUUUGCGAUAUCUGGUCCGAAAGGGCAUGGGUUCGAAUCCCAUUCUCAUCA